GGGGAUGACAGGUAUCGAUAAAAGCAUAGUUUUUUAAUAAGCAAAUCGAGCUCAAAAUCUCGUUAAACUCUUGAAAAAAAAUCUAAGUGCAAACUUGAUUUCAAAAGCUAAGAGCACAGUAGCUUCGCUAUUUGCUGCUCCAGCUUAUGCUAUUGUAUAAAACCAAUAGCCAUCCGAACUUUCAACUCCUGAUAGAAAACUUCGGGUGUCAAUUUUUCAGGAUAGAUAAUUAAAAAUUGCCUUGGUUUAAUUAUUGAAAACUUUAGAGGCGAUAAUUAAAAGUUUUUUGCUUGGUUUUAAGCUUUUAGUUAUUAUUUCAAAUCAAGCUAAAUUUGUAGAAUUAUUAAAAAAUAUCUUUUAGACGGGGGUUCGAUCCCCCCUUCUCCACAA
rnacentral:tmRNA from 1 species